rnacentral:rRNA from 1 species
CCUACGGGAGGCUGCAGUGGGGAAUAUUGCGCAAUGGGCGAAAGCCUGACGCAGCGACGCCGCGUGAGGGAUGAAGGUCUUCGGAUCGUAAACCUCUGUCAGCAGGGAAGAACGGUCACUGUGCUAAUCAGCAGUGAAUUGACGGUACCUGCAAAGGAAGCACCGGCUAACUCCGUGCCAGCAGCCGCGGUAAUACGGGGGGUGCGAGCGUUAAUCGGAAUUACUGGGCGUAAAGCGCUCGUAGGCGGUAUGGCAAGUCAAGGGUGAAAUCCCCGCGCUCAACGUGGGAACUGCCUUUGAAACUGGCAAACUGAGGUGUGUGGGAGGAUGGUGGAAUUCCGGGUGUGGGAGUGAAAUCCGUAGAUAUCUGGAGGAACAUCAGUGGCGAGGGCGACUAUCUGGCACAUAACUGACGCUGAGGAGCGAACGCGUGGGUAGCAAACCGGGUUGGAUACCCCUGUCUC